rnacentral:lncRNA from 10 species
UGGGAGGUGUGCCCAACAGCUCAUUGAGAACGGGCCAGGAUGACAAUGGCGGCUUUGUGGAAUAGAAAGGCGGGAAAGGUGGGGAAAAGAUUGAGAAAUCGGAUGGUUGCCGUGUCUGUGUAGAAAGAAGUAGACAUGGGAGACUUUUCAUUUUGUUCUGCACUAAGAAAAAUUCCUCUGCCUUGGGAUACUGUUGAUCUGUGACCUUACCCCCAACCCUGUGCUCCCUGAAACAUGUGCUGUGUCCACUCAGGGUUAAAUGGAUUAAGGGCGGUGCAAGAUGUGCUUUGUU